GACGAACGCUGGCGGCGUGCCUAAUACAUGCAAGUCGAGCGGACGAAUCGAAAGCUUGCUUUUGUUUCGUUAGCGGCGGACGGGUGAGUAACACGUGGGCAACCUGCCCUUUAGACUGGGAUAACACCGAGAAAUCGGUGCUAAUACCGGAUAACACGAAAUGUCGCAUGACGUUUCGUUGAAAGACGGCGCAAGCUGUCGCUACAGGUGGGUCCCGCGUCGCAUUAGCUAGUUGGUGAGGUAACGGCUCACCAAGGCAACGAUGCGUAGCCGACCUGAGAGGGUGAUCGGCCACACUGGGACUGAGACACGGCCCAGACUCCUACGGGAGGCAGCAGUAGGGAAUCUUCCGCAAUGGACGAAAGUCUGACGGAGCAACGCCGCGUGAGCGAAGAAGGCCUUCGGGUCGUAAAGCUCUGUUGUUAGGGAAGAACAAGUAACGCAGUAACUGGCGUUACCGUGACGGUACCUAACGAGAAAGCCACGGCUAACUACGUG
rnacentral:rRNA from 1 species